rnacentral:rRNA from 1 species
AGAGUUUGAUCCUGGCUCAGGAUGAACGCUGGCGGUCUGCUUAACACAUGCAAGUCGAACGAACUCUUCGGAGUGAGUGGCGGAUGGGUGAGUAACGCGUGAGAAUCUACCUGUGGGUCGGGGACAACCACUGGAAACGGUGGCUAAUACCGGAUGAGCCGAAAGGUAAAAGAUUUAUUGCCCACAGAUGAGCUCGCGUCUGAUUAGCUAGUUGGUAAGGUAAAAGCGUACCAAGGCGACGAUCAGUAGCUGGUCUGAGAGGAUGAGCAGCCACACUGGGACUGAGACACGGCCCAGACUCCUACGGGAGGCAGCAGUGGGGAAUUUUCCGCAAUGGGCGAAAGCCUGACGGAGCAAGACCGCGUGGGGGAGGAAGGUUUUUGGAUCGUAAACCCCUUUUGUCAAGGAAGAAGCUCUGACGGUACUUGACGAAUAAGCCUCGGCUAACUCCGUGCCAGCAGCCGCGGUAAUACGGAGGAGGCAAGCGUUAUCCGGAAUGAUUGGGCGUAAAGCGUCUGUAGGUGGCCAGCUAAGUCUGCUGUUAAAGAUCACAGCUCAACUGUGGGAAGGCAGUGGAAACUGGCAA